CGCGGCCUAUCAGCUUGUUGGUGAGGUAAUGGCUCACCAAGGCUUCGACGGGUAGCCGGCCUGAGAGGGCGACCGGCCACACUGGGACUGAGAUACGGCCCAGACUCCUACGGGAGGCAGCAGUGGGGAAUAUUGCACAAUGGGCGCAAGCCUGAUGCAGCAACGCCGCGUGCGGGAUGACGGCCUUCGGGUCGUAAACCGCUUUCAGUAGGGACGAAGCUAACGUGACGGUACCUACAGAAGAAGGACCGGCUAACUACGUGCCAGCAGCCGCGGUGAUACGUAGGGUCCGAGCGUUGUCCGGAAUUAUUGGGCGUAAAGGGCUUGUAGGCGGUCCGUCGCGUCAGGAGUGAAAACUCGGGGCUUAACCCCGAGCCUGCUUUUGAUACGGGCGGACUAGAGGGAUGCAGGGGAGAACGGAAUUCCUGGUGGAGCGGUGGAAUGCGCAGAUAUCAGGAGGAACACCGGUGGCGAAGGCGGUUCUCUGGGCAUCACCUGACGCUGAGAAGCGAAAGCGUGGGGAGCAAACAGGCUUAGAUACCCUGGUAGUCCACGCCGUAAACGGUGGGCACUAGGUGUGGGGGACAUUCCACGUUCUCCGUGCCGAAGCUAACGCAUUAAGUGCCCCGCCUGGGGAGUACGG
rnacentral:rRNA from 1 species